rnacentral:lncRNA from 1 species
AGAGAAUUGAUUUAUUGGAACAAUGGCCUUCAAAAAUCCUUUUUCUUUUAAAAAAAAAGUCUUUGAAGAGGUGAGGUGUGAUGUAAAACCUUUUUUUUCUUUAUAGCAGCUUUCCAAGUCUUUCUCAAAUGUAUUUGAGGACUUUAUUUUGUAGACACUUUAGAAGUUGAAUAGUUUUGCAAGAAACAUCUGUAAAUAUUAGAAAAACAAUUCAGAUCUUAAGAACAAAAUGCAUAAACAAGUUGUAUAAACACAUUUUAGUGCAUCAUGGGGUCAACCCAAUAUUUAAUUAUGGUUAUCCAUUAUGUUUUAUGAAACAUAUGUUACAGUGUUUUUCCUGAAAUUAAUUGCAUCGUUAAGAUAUUAUGGAGUGGUGUAUUUAUCAUUUGUUUAUGACUUUCUUUGUGGUUCAUCAAAAGUCUGUUAUUGCACCAUAAAGAGCAAUCUCUACUGAACAGGCUGUUUACAAGUAUAAGAAGAAAUGGAAGGUCAGGCUUUUGGUACUACAAUUCAUGGACAGUCUCUUGAUUUUCCACAUUAAAUAGAUCUACUUUAUACAAGGUACUAUGCCCUUAGAAUUUUUUUUUAAGUUUAGUUUUAAAAUCUAAAGGUAAUUCUAAGUAAACGCUGUCCUGUGCACUGUAAGAUUUAGUUAGAUCCCUGGCCUUUUCCUACUAGAUGAUAGUUGUACCCCACCAAAUUAGGAUACUAAAAUUACCUCCUAAGGAGCAAAAUUGCCCCCAGUUGAGAAACACUGUUUUGGAACUUAACUGUUUCCCUUCCAUUCUUUCUGUUGCUCUGGGUGGAGAGUUCCAUAGACUUCUGUCAGAUCCAUUUGGUCCAAAGUUUAGUUCAGGUCCUGAAUAUUUUUAAUUUUCUCUCUUGGUGAUCUGUCUAAUACUAUCACUGGUGUGUUGAAGUCUCCCACUAUUAUUGUGUAGGAGUCUAUGUCUCUUUGUAAGUCUCUAAGGAUUUGCUUUAUGAAUCGGGGUGCUCCUGUGUUGAGUGCAUAUAUAUUUAGAAUAGUUAGGUCAUCUUGUGGAAUUGAACCCUUUACCAUUAUGUAAUGCCCUUCUUUAUUUUUUUUUAAUCUUUGUUGGUUUAAAGUCUAUUUUGUCUGAAAUUAGAAUUGCAACCCCUUCUUCUUUCUGUUUUGCAUUUGCUUGAUAUAUUUUCCUCCAUCCCUUUAUUUUGAGCCUAUAGGUGUCAUUACAUGUGAGAUGGGUCUCUUGAAGAUAGCAUAUCAUUGGAUCUUGCUUUUUAUCCAGCUUGCUACUCUCUGCCUUUUAAGUGGAGCAUUUAGCCUAUU